ACGCUGGCGGCAGGCCUAACACAUGCAAGUCGAGCGGUAGAGAGAAGCUUGCUUCUCUUGAGAGCGGCGGACGGGUGAGUAAUGCCUAGGAAUCUGCCUGGUAGUGGGGGAUAACGUCCGGAAACGGACGCUAAUACCGCAUACGUCCUACGGGAGAAAGCAGGGGACCUUCGGGCCUUGCGCUAUCAGAUGAGCCUAGGUCGGAUUAGCUAGUUGGUGGGGUAAUGGCUCACCAAGGCGACGAUCCGUAACUGGUCUGAGAGGAUGAUCAGUCACACUGGAACUGAGACACGGUCCAGACUCCUACGGGAGGCAGCAGUGGGGAAUAUUGGACAAUGGGCGAAAGCCUGAUCCAGCCAUGCCGCGUGUGUGAAGAAGGUCUUCGGAUUGUAAAGCACUUUAAGUUGGGAGGAAGGGCAGUAAAUUAAUACUUUGCUGUUUUGACGUUACCGACAGAAUAAGCACCGGCUAACUCUGUGCCAGCAGCCGCGGUAAUACAGAGGGUGCAAGCGUUAAUCGGAAUUACUGGGCGUAAAGCGCGCGUAGGUGGUUUGUUAAGUUGGAUGUGAAAUCCCCGGGCUCAACCUGGGAACUGCAUUCAAAACUGACUGACUAGAGUAUGGUAGAGGGUGGUGGAAUUUCCUGUGUAGCGGUGAAAUGCGUAGAUAUAGGAAGGAACACCAGUGGCGAAGGCGACCACCUGGACUGAUACUGACACUGAGGUGCGAAAGCGUGGGGAGCAAAC
rnacentral:rRNA from 1 species